rnacentral:misc_RNA from 1 species
GUUUUCAUCUUAUAAUAAACAAUUUCAAUUUCCUUUUCCCUUUGUCUUGUAAAUGACAUGCACACCAAAGGAUUCAUUUCAUUGCAUGUUGUCACUGUAGAAUCUCGAACACCAACAAAUUGUGAAAUCAAUCCCUGGUAAAUUUUACCUGUAAAGUUGUAAAUUCUGAAGUUAGUGUUUACCCAUAAAUAUAUUGCUAUGGUUUUUUCAGAGUUUGAUAAUUGUAAUUUUUCCAACCCUAAACCCUAAAUUUGAUAAUUAAAUCACUUUUUUCCAACAUCUAAAAUAACUUUUUUAUUCUUCCCAUCAAAAUCCCGGACUAAGUCAUAAGGGAGGCUUCAACCAAUCAAUAAUCAACACCACCAAGAAAGCUGAAUGUGACCUAUGACAUUCAAGGAAACCAUCUCUAGAACCAAAAGAGAAAUACUUAACUGGCCAAAUGGAGCUUGGAAACUCAAUCCACAAAUCAAUUUUUCAAAAGGAACAGAGACCUGCAACUUGUCUAAACUUCUCAUAGGAGACCCAAAAGACAAAUUGCCAUGGACCAAGUCUUGCCCAUGUAGGAAAAAACCCUUUCCACAAUGCUCUUAAUCCCUCAAUUUUAACUGUCUUCACCAGACAAUCGUAAGAGCUCUUGUAUCUAAUCUUGCCUUCCUUGGCCGCUACCUGAUUCAUCAUUCUUGUCUUCACUACAUCAGCUGGACAACUCAAAGCAGUUGCAGAAAGCCCUGACAUAAUGGAUGCUAAGGUGUGGGCAUAUAUAUUAUCAGCAGCUAUGCGGUUAUGGAUGACAAAUCUUUUUGCGUGAUCGUAACAGGCUAAUUCUCCCAUGUUCACUAAAAAUGCCCUUUGGAUGUUCGGGAAAACCCCUUUCCAAAGUCCACCAAAGCCUUCUGCAUGCACUAUCUUGUUAAAUGCAUCGAAAGGCCCCAAAUACCUAGGUUGGUGACCCUGGCUUACCAUACGACUAUCUGCUUGCAUUCGCACCUUAACAAGAUCAGCAGGACUAGCCACCACCUGCACUACUAAUGACAACCAUAAACUUAUAAGUUAUUGACAUAUUGUCUGAUAUUUACAUAUGGCAAAUAAAAGCAAAUGGAGACUUUUACUCACUAGGCCACUAUUUCAACAUUGUUUAGGGAAUUCAUCACUGGCUACCAGAUUAAUCAUGAAAUUUCUGGAAAGUAUCUGAUUAAUAGUAUCUAAUACUUUCUAGAUUUUUAUUCUUAUUGAAGGGCUAAAACUAAAUUACUCAUAAACACAAAUGGAAUUUGUCAUCCACUUAAUCAUUUAGCAGCUAAUAGCAAUCCAUGGAAAGGAGGAACAUUCAACGCAUUAAGUGCACCCUUCUCCACAUUCAAGUGGGGCUCGUCUUCCAUAUUUAUAGGUGGACAUGGAUCUCAAACGAAUGCCAAAGGAUGGUGCACUAAAUAAUUUCCCCCUUCCAAAAGAGUGACCCAUGGAACAGUGAAACUUGCUUCCCCUCACAUGAUAUUUAAACCUAAGGUAGACGCAAAUUCUUCUAUACCAAUAGCAGAGUUGGCAUUUCAUCCCUGUUGGAGUUACAAUGCUAGGAAUAAUUGAUGUCUCAUGGCUCAUGAGAAUCACCGUGUAUGUCAGAAUCAGACCAACCGAAAAAUGCAAAUGUAUGUCACUAUAAUCAAUUCAUUUAAACUCUGCAGCACAAUUCAAAAGUACUUAAUUGUUAAAUUUUUCACGAUGAACUAAUGUAGUCAAUUAUUGACUAAAAGAUAACUUCUUCAAAGGAUAAUCUCAACAAUCCCCCAACCCCUUCCAGCAGAAGGGAAAGCUCUCACCUAAACAACUAGGACAAAUACUCCAGCAAUGAGAGGCUUUAAAAAGAGAAAUGCAACUGCCACCACCACCAACAUUCACAAAACUCUUAAAAUUCCGAUAUCAAACAAUUUGCAUGCGCAUUGUGUUAAUUUUAUAAUAACAAAAUGACAUGUCAUUUGCGUACAUUAAAGACAAAUAUUGUGCUGUGCACAAGAACAACAUUUAAACAUUUAUGCUUUAAUGGAUAUGAAUGAAAUGCCUCUUUUUUUUUUUUUUUUCCGAGGAAAUGAGUUGCCACUCGAUCAUAUGCCUUAAACCAGAAAAUGACAUCCCAUACUAUAAAAGGCAAACUUUAAAUCUAGAAAAUUCAGGCAUUUCAAAAUGCCAUAACUUCAAAGCAUUUUUCUCUAAAAUUCCAUAACAUCUCUAAACCUGCUUAGCAUUCGACAAUACCCAAUUCCAUGUAUGAGACAAUGAUAUGAAGACAGACGCAAAUGCUUCAUUAAGUUUCUUCCUCUAGAAGGAUUGGUAUUAAUUCUUUAGACAAAUCAAUAGCUAAAACUUCAAAAAUUUUAGCCUUGUGAGUUGAUUUUUCAAAACAGAUGAAUCUCUUACCUGGGCAAUGACACCGGAGACUCCACCAAGGAAAGCUUUACUAGGGAGAGAAAUGGAACCAUUUCCACCGUCAUUGACAACAAAAUUUCUCAAAUUUUCAUAACCCACAAUUCGAAUAGGGGUGUAGAAGAGGUGUCGGAGGAUAGCAGGAGAAAGGCCUUGGUAGAGACCGAGAAGGCCUCGUUGGCGAAGGAUCUCCGCGGCGACUCGGAAAGCGUUGGUGGGGUGAGUGGAGGAAAGAGACUCACCGUGGAGCUGAAGUCGAGUCUUUGCCAGGUCUAUUGGGAAGGUCGCGGUCUCCGCCACCAUGGCCGAGAGUGAGGUCAACAGGAUCUUUGUCCGAGUCUGGGUCUGGUUGAGCCCAUGGCUCUGGCUUGGUUUCAUGGAUGGAACUUGAAAGGGAUACGGGGGUAAUGGCUUUUGCUAGUUUCAUAUUAAA